rnacentral:lncRNA from 1 species
GCCCUCAACCAAAUAAGAAACUAGGAGAACCAUGCUUAUCUGGAUACUGAAGAGUGAUUUGUCAUUAUUCAAAAGCCACCCAAGCCAUUGCUCCAGUUACCUGAGAGGACCUAUGCAGUCCUGAACAGGAAGGCUCAACCACACAGUUGUGAAUGGAAGAGGCAGGAAUGCAAGAUACUCUCUGGACUGAAAUAUGGCCCAGACUGCGAAAAACACUGAAAAACCCUGACUUUGUAAAUCAAUAUCAAUCAAUGCCCUGUGAAGUACAUCAUAAAUCUGGAAGUUCUAGAGAGCUAACCCUGAGGAAAAAGGCCAUAUAA